AAUGAACGCUGGCGGCAGGCCUAACACAUGCAAGUCGAACGAGUGGCGGACGGGUGAGUAAUGUCUGGGAAACUGCCUGAUGGAGGGGGAUAACUCCUGGAAACGGUAGCUAAUAACGCAUACCAUCGGAUGUGCCCAGAUGGGAUUAGCUAGUAGGUGGGGUAAAGGCUAACCUAGGCGAAGAUCCCUAGCUGGUCUGAGAGGAUGACCAGCAACACUGGUACGUAGACACGGUUCAGACUCCUACGGGAGGCAGCAGUGGGGAAUAUUGCACAAUGGUCGCAAGCCUGAUGCAGCAAUGCCGCGUGUAUGAAGAAGGCCUUCGGGUUGUAAAGUACUUUCAGCGGGGAGGCGUUACCCGCAGAGGAAGCACCGGCUAACUCCGUGCCAGCAGCCGCGGUAAUUC
rnacentral:rRNA from 1 species